GUUUGCCAGCUGGCACUUGGAGGACUCCAGCCCAGUUUAGUCUGAGCUGCAGAAAAUAGAUUCUGUUCCUUUGGUGGGUUGGAUAAUAAUGCCAUGGGAAAAAUCUUUAAGGAGAGCACAUGGACUCUGUCCAGAGUUGAACUUGUGUUCAGUUGCUGCAUGAAGAACUGACCUGAUUUCCUAGGACCCCGCUGGGUCGCAGCAGCCAGUCAUCUUUUACAGGCACUGCCCGACCCGCUCGCUGUUGUCUGCUGGUGCUUGGCGGCCCUGGGUUUGUGCAGGGGGAGCAGCGUGGUACGGUAAAGGGCUGGGUGUGAAAGAAGACAAACGUGUUAAGCUGUUCAGCCGCGGCGCACAGCGGAGAGGGACCAAGAAUUCCCAGAGGAAAGGAGUUUCUCAGCAUCCCGGAUUCCUACCUCCUGGCUGAGUGGUUUAUUGCUAGGGCUGUAGGAUUUCUGCGGUGGAGCUGCUUCCGAAGAGUCGUAAAAACGCUUUUUCUCCAGGGGAAAGUCUGGAUGCCCUGCUGGAAGAGCAGUCCGCAGGUGUAUGUGCCUCCAUGGGCAGAAAAUAAAUGUUGGCUCGUUUCACUACAUUCCUCUCAUCCCCUUCUCAUCCGAUUUGCAUCCAUUAGCAUUUGUGCAGCUAAUUAAAGGAAGUUGGGAUGAGAUCCAUGCCUCCCCGCGAGGUACCUGGCAUGGCUGCAGUG